rnacentral:rRNA from 1 species
AUUGAACGCUGGCGGCAGGCUUAACACAUGCAAGUCGAGCGGAGAUGAGGUGCUUGCGCCUUAUCUUAGCGGCGGACGGGUGAGUAAUGCUUAGGAAUCUGCCUAUUAGUGGGGGACAACAUUCCGAAAGGAAUGCUAAUACCGCAUACGUCCUACGGGAGAAAGCAGGGGAUCUUCGGACCUUGCGCUAAUAGAUGAGCCUAAGUCGGAUUAGCUAGUUGGUGGGGUAAAGGCCUACCAAGGCGACGAUCUGUAGCGGGUCUGAGAGGAUGAUCCGCCACACUGGGACUGAGACACGGCCCAGACUCCUACGGGAGGCAGCAGUGGGGAAUAUUGGACAAUGGGGGGAACCCUGAUCCAGCCAUGCCGCGUGUGUGAAGAAGGCCUUAUGGUUGUAAAGCACUUUAAGCGAGGAGGAGGCUACUGAGACUAAUACUCUUGGAUAGUGGACGUUACUCGCAGAAUAAGCACCGUCUAACUCUGUGCCAGCCGCCGCCGUAA